GACUCCGUGGCGCAACGGUAGCGCGUCCGACUCCAGAUCGGAGUGGAUAACGACACAGUAAAAACAUUCGGUUAAUUUACUCGGAUUUG
rnacentral:tRNA from 1 species